UACAGAGGUCUCAAGCGUUGUUCGGAUUCAUUGGGCGUAAAGGGUGCGUAGGUGGCGCCGUAAGUCAGGUGUGAAAUUUCGGAGCUUAACUCCGAAACUGCAUUUGAUACUGCGGUGCUUGAGGACUGGAGAGGAGACUGGAAUUUACGGUGUAGCAGUGAAAUGCGUAGAGAUCGGAAGGAACGCCGGUGGCGAAAGCGGCCCGCUGGACCCUUUCUGACGCUGAGGCGCGAAAGCCAGGGGAGCAAACGGGG
rnacentral:rRNA from 1 species